rnacentral:ncRNA from 2 species
CAUUUGUGCUAGGGGUGCCGUUAUGGCUGAGAAAGAGACCUUUGUCUCUUAACCCUUUGAACCUGAUGCGGUUAGUACCGCCGGAGGGAAGCUUUAAAUAUGGUGU